rnacentral:lncRNA from 1 species
AGCCCUCUGUAUGACAUGCUAAGAAAGAACCUUGUUACGUCAGCCUCUGUUAACACAGCACGGUGCAACAGAGUGCUCCAACCCCAGAAAAAGAACUGAAGAAGAUGAUACUCACACACUGCCUACCUCACGACGUAAAUGCAGAGAUUCCAGAGCAGAUGGUUGAAGGGGGAAAAGAUGAUGACCUUGAGGACUCCAAGUCCUUAAGUGAUGAUACUGAUGUGGAAGUCACUUCUGAGGAUGAGUGGCAGUGUACGGAAUGCAAGAAGUUUAAUUCUCCAAGCAAGAGGUACUGUUUUCGUUGCUGGGCCUUGAGGAAGGAUUGGUAUUCGGAUUGCUCUAAAUUAACUCAUUCUCUCUCUACAUCUAAUAUCACUGCCAUACCUGAAAAGAAGGACAAUGAAGGAAUCGAUGUCCCCGAUUGUCGGAGAACCAUUU